rnacentral:rRNA from 1 species
GACGAAGGAUGCAAGCGUUAUCCGGAUUCAUUGGGUUUAAAGGGAGCGUAGGCGGCUUUGUAAGUCAGUGGUGAAAUAUGGCAGCUCAACUGUCAAGGUGCCAUUGAUACUGCGGAGCUUGAGUACAGAUGAGGUAGGCGGAAUUGACGGUGUAGCGGUGAAAUGCUUAGAUAUCGUCAAGAACACCUAUAGCGAAGGCAGCUUACUAGGCUGUAACUGACGCUGAGGCACGAAAGUGUGGGGAUCAAACAGG